AUUGAACGCUGGUGGUAUGCUUAACACAUGCAAGUCGAACGGUAACAGGUCUUCGGAUGCUGACGAGUGGCGGACGGGUGAGUAACGCGUAGGAAUCUGCCUACAAGUGGGGGAUACCGAUUGGAAACGAUCGUUAAUACCGCAUGAUAAUUUAGGUUUAAAGGUGGCUUUAGGGCUGCCGCUUGUAGAUGAGCCUGCGUAAGAUUAGCUAGUUGGUGGGGUAAGGGCCCACCAAGGCGACGAUCUUUAGCUGAUUUGAGAGGAUGAUCAGCCACACUGGAACUGAGACACGGUCCAGACUCCUACGGGAGGCAGCAGUGGGGAAUAUUGGACAAUGGGCGGAAGCCUGAUCCAGCCAUCCCGCGUGUAGGAAUAAGGCCCUAUGGUUGUAAACUACUUUAUUAGGUAA
rnacentral:rRNA from 1 species